GACGAACCGUGCGAACGUUGUUCGGAUUCACUGGGCUUAAAGGGCGCGUAGGCGGGGCGGUCAAGUCGGGGGUGAAAUCUUUCAGCUUAACUUGGAAAAGUGCCUCCGAUACUGAUCGCCUCGAGGGAGGUAGGGGCAUGUGGAACUUCCGGUGGAGCGGUGAAAUGCGUAGAUAUCGGAAGGAACGCCGGUGGCGAAAGCGACGUGCGUGGACCUCUUCUGACGCUGAGGCGCGAAAGCUAGGGGAGCAAACGGG
rnacentral:rRNA from 1 species